GCGCUGCUUUUUAUUCCUUCCUCAGCAUUUUGACUAAAAACGAAAAGGAAAUGGAGCUCAGGGUCCCUGUUCACAGCCUGAGCAACUCCUCAUUACCUUCGCUAACCAAACCAAAGGUGAGAAUUUCUCAGAGAAAACUAGUGCCUGUACGGAUUACCUACCCAAUCUUAUCUUCAACUCCUAUUCGAAUGGAAUCCCAAUCGCCUCUCCGCGCCACCCCAACCGAAGACCAUCGCUCCACAGUAACCUCGUCUUCGCCCAUCGAAUCCGGAGCAAGACAAGGUCGAAUCGGAGAAGUGAAGAGAGUCACCAGGGAAACUAAUGUCUCGGUGAAGAUAAACUUGGACGGUACAGGAAUUGCUGAUUCUAGUACUGGAAUUCCAUUUCUCGAUCACAUGUUAGAUCAACUUGCUUCGCAUGGGCUGUUUGAUGUUCAUGUGAGGGCAACUGGGGACAUUCACAUCGAUGAUCAUCACACUAACGAAGAUGUUGCUCUUGCUAUAGGAACGGCAUUGCUGCAGGCUCUUGGUGACAGGAAAGGAAUUAAUCGGUUUGGUGACUUCUCAGCCCCUCUUGAUGAGGCAUUGAUACAUGUUUCAUUGGAUUUGUCUGGGCGGCCACAUUUGAGUUAUGAUUUGGAAAUUCCCACUCAGAGAGUUGGUACAUAUGACACUCAGUUGGUGGAGCACUUUUUCCAGUCUUUAGUGAAUACUUCCGGUAUGACACUUCACAUUCGGCAGCUUGCUGGAAGAAAUUCUCAUCAUAUUAUUGAAGCAACCUUCAAAGCAUUUGCUAGAGCUCUUCGGCAAGCAACUGAAUAUGAUCCACGUCGCCUUGGGACUGUGCCAAGUUCAAAAGGGGUGCUGUCACGAGCCUGAUGCUGCUUGAUUAUCAUGCAAUGGAUGGUUUAGGAUGGCCUUCAGGUGUUGCUAGCAGUGAAUAUAUUUUAUUCAUGCAUUCACCAGUGAGAUGCAUUUUGGUGAUCUCUUAUAGUGCACUUGAGACAAUCAGUUGAGCUACAUUACAAUGGAUAGUUUGUCGUUGUAUAUCAUAGUUCUGCUGAAGACUGUCUAAUUUGGGCAACACUUGGAAGCUAUAAAGGAUGCAGUGCUUCUAUGACUAGUUUGUGUCUUGUGAACAUGAAGAAAUCAAAUAAUACGGUAUUCAAACACGUAUAGAAAGGCUUAUCCGACCAUCCGUCAACAAUAAUUGCUCUUCAAUUAUGAGAAACUAACUAGUUGGAACCUGUCGAUUAUUGAAACUUUCUUGAUAGGUGGCCGCUGGCCAAUGCAGAAACAUGGUGAACCAGCUGUGUUACUAUUUUCUGAUACCCAUUGACAUAAAAGUGCUUGGAUUGCAUGAAAUUUAUGACUAUGAUUCUAUAUUCCUGUAAAAUUCAUGCAAUCCAAGCACUUUUAUGUCAA
rnacentral:misc_RNA from 1 species